UAGGGAAUCUUCCACAAUGGACGCAAGUCUGAUGGAGCAACGCCGCGUGAGUGAAGAAGGUUUUCGGACCGUAAAGCUCUGUUGUUGGUGAAGAAGGAUAGAGGUAGUAACUGGCCUUUAUUUGACGGUAAUCAACCAGAAAGUCACGGCUAACUACGUGCCAGCAGCCGCGGUAAUCGUAGGUGGCAAGCGUUGUCCGGAUUUAUUGGGCGUAAAGCGAGCGCAGGCGGAAGAAUAAGUCUGAUGUGAAAGCCCUCGGCUUAACCGAGGAAUUGCAUCGGAAACUGUUUUCUUGAGUGCAGAAGAGGAGAGUAGAACUCCAUGUGUAGCGGUGGAAUGCGUAGAUAUAUGGAAGAAUACCAGUGGCGAAGGCGGCUCUCUGGUCUGCAACUGACGCUGAGGCCCGAAAGCAUGGGUAGCGAACAGGAUUAGAUACCCUGGUAGUCCAUGCCGUAAACGAUGAGUGCUAAGUGUUGGGAGGCUUCCGCCUCUCAGUGCUGCAGCUAACGCAUUAAGCACUCCGCCUGGGGGAGUACGACCGCAAGGUUGAAAC
rnacentral:rRNA from 1 species